rnacentral:rRNA from 1 species
AUUGAACGCUGGCGGCAGGCUUAACACAUGCAAGUCGAACGAUGAAACUCUAGCUUGCUAGAGAAGAUUAGUGGCGGACGGGUGAGUAACAUUUAGGAAUCUGCCUAGUAGUGGGGGAUAGCUCGGGGAAACUCGAAUUAAUACCGCAUACGACCUACGGGUGAAAGGGGGCGCAAGCUCUUGCUAUUAGAUGAGCCUAAAUCAGAUUAGCUAGUUGGUGGGGUAAAGGCCUACCAAGGCGACGAUCUGUAACUGGUCUGAGAGGAUGAUCAGUCACACCGGAACUGAGACACGGUCCGGACUCCUACGGGAGGCAGCAGUGGGGAAUAUUGGACAAUGGGGGCAACCCUGAUCCAGCCAUGCCGCGUGUGUGAAGAAGGCCUUUUGGUUGUAAAGCACUUUAAGCAGGGAGGAGAGGCUAAUGGUUAAUACCCAUUAGAUUAGACGUUACCUGCAGAAUAAGCACCGGCUAACUCUGUGCCAGCAGCCGCGGUAAUACAGAGGGUGCGAGCGUUAAUCGGAAUUACUGGGCGUAAAGCGAGUGUAGGUGGCUCAUUAAGUCACAUGUGAAAUCCCCGGGCUUAACCUGGGAACUGCAUGUGAUACUGGUGGUGCUAGAAUAUGUGAGAGGGAAGUAGAAUUCCAGGUGUAGCGGUGAAAUGCGUAGAGAUCUGGAGGAAUACCGAUGGCGAAGGCAGCUUCCUGGCAUAAUAUUGACACUGAGAUUCGAAAGCGUGGGUAGCAAACAGGAUUAGAUACCCUGGUAGUCCACGCCGUAAACGAUGUCUACUAGCCGUUGGGGUCCUUGAGACUUUAGUGGCGCAGUUAACGCGAUAAGUAGACCGCCUGGGGAGUACGGCCGCAAGGUUAAAACUCAAAUGAAUUGACGGGGGCCCGCACAAGCGGUGGAGCAUGUGGUUUAAUUCGAUGCAACGCGAAGAACCUUACCUGGUCUUGACAUAGUGAGAAUCUUUCAGAGAUGAGAGAGUGCCUUCGGGAACUCACAUACAGGUGCUGCAUGGCUGUCGUCAGCUCGUGUCGUGAGAUGUUGGGUUAAGUCCCGCAACGAGCGCAACCCUUUUCCUUAUUUGCCAGCGGGUUAAGCCGGGAACUUUAAGGAUACUGCCAGUGACAAACUGGAGGAAGGCGGGGACGACGUCAAGUCAUCAUGGCCCUUACGACCAGGGCUACACACGUGCUACAAUGGUAGGUACAGAGGGUUGCUACACAGCGAUGUGAUGCUAAUCUCAAAAAGCCUAUCGUAGUCCGGAUUGGAGUCUGCAACUCGACUCCAUGAAGUCGGAAUCGCUAGUAAUCGCAGAUCAGAAUGCUGCGGUGAAUACGUUCCCGGGCCU